UCCAGUCCUUCCCUUACCAGCCAGGACUACUUCCUGGAUGGGUGCACCUCUGACUAUCGGAUCAGGAUCAAGAUGUGAAUAGAUGACCACCAUCCCUGGAGAUUCUGGAACAAGGAGAUCCUGGAGUAUAGGACAGUUGCUGAAGUUGGUCUGACAGUUCAGGGACCCAAGCACAUCAAGAAUGUCACCAUCACUACAUUAUGACAUAGCCCAGAGCAGUAGGUGGGCUUUGUGAUGCCUCAGAGGGGAGGCGGACCUCAGAACUGGUGUGUCCAAGCAGUCUGACCUGAAAUUUAGCAUCACUUGCCUGUGCUCUGUUGUCACCUCUCAGUGACGCUUGCUGCUUUUUCACCUCCUCACUUUGACGUGCCAUCCUGACAGCUUUGUCCAAGGAACAGAGGUGCAGAAAAAGACCAGAAGGCAAUUAAUGUGCAUUACUGUCUUCUG